GACGAACGCUGGCGGCGUGCUUAACACAUGCAAGUCGAAUGGAAAGGCCCUGCUUGCAGGGUACUCGAGUGGCGAACGGGUGAGUAACACGUGGGUGAUCUGCCCUGCACUUCGGGAUAAGCCUGGGAAACUGGGUCUAAUACCGGAUAGGAGCCAUUUUUAGUGUGAUGGUUGGAAAGUUUUUUCGGUGUAGGAUGAGCUCGCGGCCUAUCAGCUUGUUGGUGGGGUAAUGGCCUACCAAGGCGGCGACGGGUAGCCGGCCUGAGAGGGUGGACGGCCACAUUGGGACUGAGAUACGGCCCAGACUCCUACGGGAGGCAGCAGGGGGGAAUAUUGCACAAUGGGCGCAAGCCUGAUGCAGCGACGCCGCGUGGGGGAUGACGGCCUUCGGGUUGUAAACUCCUUUCGCUAGGGACGAAGCUUUUUGUGACGGUACCUAGAUAAGAAGCACCGGCUAACUACGUG
rnacentral:rRNA from 1 species